AGCGGCGGCCCCGCGGGGAGCCACGUCUGCAGCUGGCGGGCGGCCUGGAGCCCCGCGGCCCGCGCUGGCCCGCCCCUCCCUGACGCGGGCGCCUCGGCCGAAAGGGGCCGCAGGGACGCCAGGGGCCUGCGCGGGGCCGGGGCUCGGAUCCCACGGGCGGGAAAGGAGGACGAGGCGCAGCCGGCACGGGCCGCCGUAGCCCGAGCACGCUGCCCACUCGGGGGGCGGACUGCACGCCGCGCCGGGCCGGGCUCCGAGCGCCGGGGAGCCCGCCCGGCCCACGACUGCGGCGCUGCGGAGGGAGGGCCGGGCCUGCAACGGGCGGGAACCGCAGCGGCCCGACGGACGGCGCAGGCGCAGGCGCGGCGCGGCGCUCCCCGGGGAAGGGAACCGGGCCGCGCACGGGGAGCGCGGGCGGCGGCGGCGGGGGCACCUCGGGGCGGGCGCAAGGAGCCCCCUUCCCGCGACCGCGACGAGCCGGGGACGCGGAGUGACGUCGGGCCGCAGCUCGGGGUCUCCAGUCGCGCUCCGAGGUCAGGCCGGGCCGGCAGGCGGGACUCGGCCGCGCCCCGCCAGAGCCUCGCCCAGGAGGCGCCGAGCGCCCGCCGGUCCCGCGCGCCCUUCUGCGGACGGCGGACGUCCCGGCUCCGCCCGUCGGGGUCAAGCGGGCGGGCGGCCGAGCCCCAGCCCCCGCCCCCACUCCCAGCCGCGAGCCCGCGGCCCAGCGCUGCCCAGAGCCCCGGGGCGGGGCCUCGCGAGACCCAAACAAGCCCCACGUGGCAGGGGCGGGGCCGCCUCGGGGACGUCACGGCGCGCGCGUGCGCGGCAGCGACGGCCGGGCGCCGGCGUACCCUUGCUGGGGGCCGUAAAGCGCGGAAGGUCGCGGUCCCGGGCUUCCCCGGAACUUUUUACUCCCUCCGCCCCGCCCCCUUCGCUGCCUCCUCGGCCCCGGUUCUGGCGCCGGGACCGCUCCCGGCAACUGCUGUGGCUGCUGCCCCGCUGCCGCCGGGGCUUGUGCUGCGGCCCGCGGAGCCCGCCGGGGCCCGUGAGGUGAGGACACGGCGGCGGGGCCGCUCCGGCCUCCGCUCCGCGCGCGUCUCAGCGGCCCCCUUCCGCUCCGGGCUCCCGGGGGGGGGGGUCCCGGCCGCCCCCGGGUCGCGUCGCUUGCGCCAGCUCGCCUCGGCCUCGGGCGUCCGGGCCGACGGGGGUCCGCCCCGUUUCUCCCCUCCGGCCGCGGCGUCCCGGGCCUGGGGAACCCGUGCCCGGCUGCCCCGGGCCUGCGCAGCGGCUCCUCCGGGCGUCCGCGGCGACCUCGCCGGGGUCCCCGGCCUCGGGGUGCGCGGCCCCUCGCGCGGACGAGGCGGGUCUCGCCGGGGCUGGCUCCCCUGCGGGUGCAGUCGCUUCCCCGCCUGGAGACGCGCGCCCCUCCGGUGCUUCCCGGAUCGGCGGACGGCUGCGGAGAGCGGCGGCGGCCGCGUUACCGGGAGAAGCGUAGGCCGGGCAGGGAGCUGUGUUCGCGGCGCGUGA
rnacentral:lncRNA from 1 species